CAGGGGCCCAGAGAUCAUCGUCCAUGGGGGUAUGGGGGGGCCCAGGGUUGUGCAGAGAAGUGGGGAGAGGCAGGAGCCAAAUCCAGGGACCUGGAGGAAGAGGGAGUUCCAUGGAGGAAGCUGGGACCCAGUGUCCCAUCCCCCAACCAGGUACCACAGUCACUCGGGAGUUCGUGAUGGACAGGGAGGCCUGGCGUGCUGUGAUUCAUGGGGUCACAAGGAGUCGGACACAACUGAGUGACUGAACUGAAUUGAACUGUGUAUAAUGCAAAGACCUUGCUGCUGUGCUAUGCUCAGUUGUGUCUGACUCGUUCCCACGCCAUGGACUAUAGCCAGCUAGGCUCCUCUGUCCAUGGAAUUUUCCAGGCAAGGAUACUGAA
ensembl:lncRNA